UAUUUCCCGAUUUUAAGAGGAGUUAAUAAUUUAUUUUAGUUACUGUUUUAUUAGUAUUAAUAAUAUGUUAUUGGUAGUGAAAUGUUAUUCGUCUUUGUUGGUAUCUGGUUUUCCAAGAAAUGAAUUUAAUUCAUGCGUCUUAUUUAGAUUUAUUAUUUUUUUAUUAAGUUUUAAUUUGUCGUUAAGAUUAAGGGGGAUUAGCUCCUUAUUUUAUUAUUAUAAUUUUGUUUUAUUUUUAAUUUUUGUUGAUUUUAUAGUGAUUUUCUAUUUGAUUAUGUUAAAAUUUUAUUUAUCUUUUAUUUGAUUUAUUUGUUGUUUAAUUUUAUAUUGGAAUGUUAUUUUUAAUUUUUGCUGUUUUGUAAUUAUUGUGUAAUUAGUAAAUUUGUUUUUUAUUUUGUAUAUUAUUAUUGUUAAUUUCUUUUGAGGAAUUAGGCAAAUAAAGUUGUGUCCGCCUGUUUAACAAAAACAUCUUUUCUUGUUAGUUUUUGAAGUAUGGCCUGCCCACUGAAUUUUUUUGAAGGGCCGCGGUAUUUUGACCGUGCAAAGGUAGCAUAAUCAUUAGUUCUUUAAUUGUGAUCUGGAAUGAAUGGCUUGACGAGAUGCAAGCUGUCUUAGAUUUUGGCGAAAUUUUAGUUGAAUUUGUUUUCUGGGUUAAAAUACUCAGAUGUUUUUAUGGGACGAGAAGACCCUAUAGAGUUUUACACUUGUAUUUAUUAUUUUAGUUGUUUGAUUUUAUUUUUAAUAAGUUUGUAUUGUUUUGUUGGGGUGAUGGGAAGAAUUUGUUUAACUCUUCUUUAUGUGUGUGUACAUUUAUGUAUGUUAUUUUGAU
rnacentral:rRNA from 1 species